UGCGUAGGUAAGUAUUUACUUACACGCAUAAAAUCAACUCAACAAUCAAUUUGUUUCGGAGUACAUUAUAUUAUCAUAUUAAAAAAAACAGGGCCAUGUGGCUAUCCACAUCCGGGAGCCGCGUUGGUGACUCAACCAAUUGGGACAGACCAUUGGCCAAUGCAAAAUUAUGCACAGAUCGCCCUGCGUAGUCUGUGAGAAAAUUGACGGAGAUAUCACCCGUUGUUGAGGCAACCGGCCGGACCUUACAUCCCGUAUGUAUAGGCCCUCAAGGUCACACGCAGACGUCUACUAAGAAACCAAGAUGGAUCCUUUCGCUGACCCACCACCUGGCACGUCACAGAGCCAGAUAGCGGGCCCGCUGGGCCCGCCACACAGCCACCCUUUGGCUGUGUACUCGUCCACACUUAUAAUAUUAAUGAAGAUAUCCACGAGCUAUGUAAACAGCUCUCUAGCAGCACCAGACCGGUCCAGCCACUCUUUUAUCAGGAUGGCCUUCUGAAGUUCACAGCGGCAGACAGGGCGGAAAUCCGGGCAGUCUGGAGCGAUAGUUUGCACCAAAUCCAGACUUGGAUCCCCAUCACACCAGAAGGGUGGAGCGUAGUGUAGCGAAAACGCAGGCGAUCAUCACCGGAAAUUCACAACUACCUUCACCCUUAAAGCUGAUGUCGGAGUAAGUCCCAUGGAGGGGACUUCCUCUGCCAUGGGAAGUCAAAUACCUGGGAGUAACCAUUGACCGGAGACUCAGCUUCAAGAAACAUUGGGAUGUCGAGGGGUGCUCGCGCCAAACUGCAGCCCAUCCUGCGGUCCAAGCUGCCACUAGGAACAAAACUCAUGAUUUAUAAAACUUACAUACGGUCCAGACUGACCUAUGCAGCAGCAGCUUGGUACUCGCUUCUCACCACGACGAACCGGGUUCGCCUGCAAACUCAAGAAAACCUUGCGUUGCGGGCCAUAUUGGGGGCACCGCGUUAUGUAAGAAACGCUACGAUCGCCAAAGAUCUGAAGACGGAGACUAUAGACGCCUUCGUACGAAGGCUUACAAAUGAAAUCACAUCUUCAUCUGAUAGGAAUUGCCCCGCUACACACAAGACCCCCAGAUGAAGAGGGUAGAAGAAAAAUGAAGGCAUACUCAAGAGACAUUGCAAACGAAGAGGAGAAAAACAAUCCCAAAAGAAGCCGAAUACGACAAAGGACUGACUGACUGACUAGCUACUGUGCAAGAACAAAAGAAAAAAUUAAUAAAAGAAAAACACAAAAAAAUAAUCACCGUCACCUUACCCAAAGACUCUCACAACGUUUUGGGAGUAGAAGAGCCAGGGUAUAGGGCUUAGCCUUGAUAUUGUGAAUUCUAAGGGGUAAAGCUGCCCAAAUUGUAUUGAGUCAUUAUUAUAAUUAUUAGUGGCAACUGUAAAAUGCAGAUAUUUCAAUUUUA